GAUGAACGCUGGCGGCGUGCCUAAUACAUGCAAGUCGAGCGAACGGACGAGAAGCUUGCUUCUCUGAUGUUAGCGGCGGACGGGUGAGUAACACGUGGAUAACCUACCUAUAAGACUGGGAUAACUUCGGGAAACCGUAGCUAAUACCGGAUAAUAUUUUGAACCGCAUGGUUCAAGAGUGAAAGACGGUCUUGCUGUCACUUAUAGAUGGAUCCGCGCUGCAUUAGCUAGUUGGUAAGGUAACGGCUUACCAAGGCAACGAUGCAUAGCCGACCUGAGAGGGUGAUCGGCCACACUGGAACUGAGACACGGUCCAGACUCCUACGGGAGGCAGCAGUAGGGAAUCUUCCGCAAAGGGCGAAAGCCUGACGGAGCAACGCCGCGUGAGUGAUGAAGGUCUUCGGAUCGUAAAACUCUGUUAUUAGGGAAGAACAUAUGUGUAAGUAACUGUGCACAUCUUGACGGUACCUAAUCAGAAAGCCACGGCUAACUACGUG
rnacentral:rRNA from 1 species